UACGGAGGGUGCGAGCGUUAAUCGGAAUUACUGGGCGUAAAGCGCGCGUAGGUGGUUUGUUAAGUUGGGUGUGAAAGCUCUGGGCUCAACCUGGGAACUGCAUCCAAAACUGGCCAACUAGAGUACAGUAGAGGGUGGUGGAAUUUCCUGUGUAGCGGUGAAAUGCGUAGAUAUAGGAAGGAACACUAGUGGCGAAGGCGACCACCUGGAUUGAUACUGACACUGAGGUGCGAAAGCGUGGGGAGCAAACAGG
rnacentral:rRNA from 1 species